ACCACAACUUGUUGUAUUUGUAUGAAGCAGAAAGCCAGGACACGAAUUUCACGUUAUCCUCGGUUAAAGUCACAAACCUAACACAAAUCCUAUAACAUAGGUAACAUAAUAUCGGGUUGUAUAACAUAGUUUAACCUUUUGACUGCCAAAGACGUCAUAUGACGCGCGCGGCUACAGCCCAAUAUCAACCUUCAUGCGAACGAUUACGCGCCGCGUGCGAUAGGCAUGGCGUUGAAAAGGUUAAGUUAAUAUUUUCUAAUUACAAAAUUUGUUUCCAUCCGGACAUGCUGGCAUAUUUUUUACAAUUUCGAAUUUUUGAUUUGUAACUUUUAUUUUAAUUUUGAAUAAUUAAAUUUUAAUUUGUAA